GCUCAACCGAGGAGGUGCUUCGAAAACUGGUAAACUUGAGUGCAGAAGAGGAAAGUGGAACUCCAUGUGUAGCGGUGGAAUGCGUAGAUAUAUGGAAGAACACCAGUGGCGAAGGCGGCUUUCUGGUCUGUAACUGACGCUGAGAUUCGAAAGCAUGGGUAGCAAACAGGAUUAGAUACCCUGGUAGUCCAUGCCGUAAACGAUGAGUGCUAAGUGUUGGAGGGUUUCCGCCCUUCAGUGCUGCAGCUAACGCAUUAAGCACUCCGCCUGGGGAGUACGAUCGCAAGAUUGAAACUCAAAGGAAUUGACGGGGGCCCGCACAAGCGGUGGAGCAUGUGGUUUAAUUCGAAGCAACGCGAAGAACCUUACCAGGUCUUGACAUACCAUGAAAAGCUAAGAGAUUAGUCUUUCCCUUCGGGGACAUGGAUACAGGUGGUGCAUGGUUGUCGUCAGCUCGUGUCGUGAGAUGUUGGGUUAAGUCCCGCAACGAGCGCAACCCUUAUUAUCAGUUGCCAGCAUUCAGUUGGGCACUCUGGUGAGACUGCCGGUGACAAACCGGAGGAAGGUGGGGACGACGUCAAAUCAUCAUGCCCCUUAUGACCUGGGCUACACACGUGCUACAAUGGUCGGUACAACG
rnacentral:rRNA from 1 species